rnacentral:rRNA from 1 species
UACGUAGGCAGCGAGCGUUGUUCGGAGUUAUUGGGCGUAAAGAGCUCGUAGGCGGUUUGUCGCGUCUGCUGUGAAAACUCGGGGCUUAACCCCGGGCCUGCAGUGGGUACGGGCAGACUAGAGUGCGGUAGGGGAGAGUGGAAUUCCUGGUGUAGCGGUGAAAUGCGCAGAUAUCAGGAGGAACACCGAUGGCGAAGGCAGGUCUCUGGGCCGAUACUGACGCUGAGGAGCGAAAGCGUGGGUAUCAAACAGGA